CUGCCCAGAGCUCUGAAUGUCAAAGUGAAGAAAUUCAAUGAAGCACGGGUAAACAGUGGGAGUAACUAUGACUCUCUUAAGGUAGCCAAAUGUCUCAUCAUCUAAUUAGUAAAUGGAUGAAUG
rnacentral:ncRNA from 1 species